rnacentral:lncRNA from 1 species
UGCUCAGUGGGUCAAGAAUCGGGCAGAAGGUGUAGGUCGUAGAUGCGGCUCAGAUCUGGCAUUGUUGUGGCUGUGGUGUAGGCCAGCAGCUGCAGCUCCACUUGCCCCCUAGCCUGGGAACUUCCCUCUGCCACAGUUGUGGCCCUAAAAAGAGAAAACCAAAAGAAACAAAAAUGUUGCGAAACAGGUGACGUCAUGGUGAAAGUUUGGAACAGAUGUAGAUAUGGCAGCAUUAGUGGGAGAGAAGUGGGAGAGACUGAGGAGGGGUAAACAGGCUCACAUUUUUAAUGAUUCAGAGAAACUAUUCUUGAGGAAGGAUUGGAUUUUUGAUGUGAUGGUGUUCAUUCCGAAACUCAUUCUUUCUGUGCAAGGUGUUAGAAGUGAUAAGCAAACAAUCAUGUUUAUCAUUUAUAAAAUUAUUUCCCCUGUUUUUUGGGAUUAAUCACUACGAAACCCCAGGGGAUGGUUAAUUAAGAAGGCUUCCCACAACCGUUGGGCCCUAUUUUGAUGGUGAAGCUACAGACACUGGCACGUGUAAGCACUGUCCCACUGACAGAGCACCCAGCAGCACAACAUCUCUGAGAAGUGAACCCCUGUGGCCUCUGCAUAAAGCGGACACUUUGUUUACCACUGAGGAGGUAGCCAGAGCUAAUACAGCCUUCACUGAACUCUCACUCUCAACAGCACCCCUCCUUUGCGUACCGUCUUUGAACUCAGGAUGUCUCAUCAAAGGAGGACCACCCCCCACGACAACCACGUAAUUCACAUUUUACUGCCCAUCAUUACAUCAUUUCAUAUCUUCGAAUCCAAGAAGUAGUAUUUGGAAGAAUGCAGUAUGUAAGCUCCUAGGAUGGGCACGGGGAAUGGUGGACACAUUCAGAUUUAAGGUUCUUGUUUUUGACCAGGACGUUUUGGCUCCUUAUCUUUCUAGGAUGGCGCUUGUCCCAGUCAUUAUUACUCAGUCACACAAGGAGGAGCUUGAGUAGAGGAGGCAGGAGACGCAUCCUUAUUACUCAGUCACACAAGGAGGAGCAUGAGUAGAGGGGGCAGGAGACGCAUCAUUAUUACUCAGUCACACAAGGAGGAGCUUGA